rnacentral:rRNA from 1 species
UCAGCCGCCGCGGUAAUACGUAGGGGGCAAGCGUUGUCCGGAAUUAUUGGGCGUAAAGAGCGCGCAGGCGGUUUUGUAAGUCCACCGUGAAAGCUUACGGCUCAACCGUAACGGGUCGGUGGAUACUGCAAGACUUGAGGGCAGGAGAGGAAAGUGGAAUUCCCAGUGUAGCGGUGAAAUGCGUAGAUAUUGGGAGGAACACCAGUGGCGAAGGCGACUUUCUGGACUGUUACUGACGCUGAGGCGCGAAAGCUGGGGAAGUGAACGGGAUUAGAUACCCCGGUAAUCCCAGCCGUAAACGAUGGGUACUAGGUGUAGGGGGUAUCGACCCCCCCUGUGCCGGAGUUAACGCAAUAAGUACCCCGCCUGGGGAGUACGGUCGCAAGACUGAAACUCAAAGGAAUUGACGGGGGCCCGCACAAGU